GCAUUUGGUAUCUUACGCUGUGCGGAUUUGACCAUCGCGGGCGUCUCCGGAAGACAGCCCGACUGAUGGCAACAAUUAAAAUGUCCCAGCCCAACCUGAAUUUUUUAUGGAUCUUCUUCAAUCUCCAGGAACCAACCCAUAUUUAUUUAAGGAAAGCAAGCUACAAGUGAACAUGCAGAGGACUGUCAGAGCUCAAGAAACAUUAAUAUCAAAUAAAAAAACUUCAAAUGAGAGCAGAGCCAUAGAAACAUCAAGGCCAAAAUGGUGGAGGUCAUAAUAGACUAGGCCCUCCCUUGGCAUGGUUUGAAUUCUCUUUCACCUAUACUAUGGGGGAGUACUAAUUGCUACGGCAUGGUAGCUACUUAAGUCACAUUUAGUAGAGUUUUCAUCUGUAAAGUUUUGAGCAGUAAAACUUGUGCAAAUUAACUUUUUAUAAAAAGUUAUCUACUAUUUGAUAACUACAUUUUUGAA